rnacentral:rRNA from 1 species
AGAGUUUGAUCCUGGCUCAGGAUGAACGCUAGCGGCGUGCUUAACACAUGCAAGUCGAACGAGCCUUCGGACUAGUGGCGGACGGGUGAGUAACGCGUGGGAAUCUGCCCUCAGGAGGGGGAUAACGGCCGGAAACGGCCGCUAAUACCCCAUAUGCCGAGAGGUGAAACGAAAUUCGCCGGGGGAUGAGCCCGCGUCUGAUUAACUAGUUGGUGUGGUAAUGGCUCACCAAGGCAUCGAUCAGUAGCUGGUCUGAGAGGAUGAUCAGCCACACUGGGACUGAGACACGGCCCAGACUCCUACGGGAGGCAGCAGUGGGGAAUUUUCCGCAAUGGGCGCAAGCCUGACGGAGCAACGCCGCGUGAGGGACGAAGGCCUCUGGGCUGUAAACCUCUUUUCUCAAGGAAGAAGACAUGACGGUACUUGAGGAAUAAGCCACGGCUAAUUCCGUGCCAGCAGCCGCGGUAAUACGGGAGUGGCAAGCGUUAUCCGGAAUUAUUGGGCGUAAAGCGUCCGCAGGCGGCCUUGAAAGUCUGUUGUUAAAGCGUGGAGCUCAACUCCAUUUCAGCAAUGGAAACUACAAGGCUAGAGUGUGGUAGGGGCAGAGGGAAUUCCCGGUGUAGCGGUGAAAUGCGUAGAUAUCGGGAAGAACACCAGUGGCGAAGGCGCUCUGCUGGGCCAUAACUGACGCUCAUGGACGAAAGCCAGGGGAGCGAAAGGGAUUAGAUACCCCUGUAGUCCUGGCCGUAAACGAUGAACACUAGGUGUCGGGAGAAUUAACCCUUUCGGUGUCGUAGCCAACGCGUUAAGUGUUCCGCCUGGGGAGUACGCACGCAAGUGUGAAACUCAAAGGAAUUGACGGGGGCCCGCACAAGUGGUGGAGUAUGUGGUUUAAUUCGAUGCAACGCGAAGAACCUUACCAGGGUUUGACAUCCUGCGAAUCCCUUGGAAACUUGGGAGUGCCUUCGGGAGCGCAGUGACAGGUGGUGCAUGGCUGUCGUCAGCUCGUGUCGUGAGAUGUUGGGUUAAGUCCCGCAACGAGCGCAACCCACGUCUUUAGUUGCCAGCAUUCAGUUGGGCACUCUAGAGAGACCGCCGGUGAUAAACCGGAGGAAGGUGUGGAUGACGUCAAGUCAUCAUGCCCCUUACAUCCUGGGCUACACACGUACUACAAUGCUACGGACAAAGGGCAGCAAACUCGCGAGAGCUAGCAAAUCCCAUAAACCGUGGCUCAGUUCAGAUCGUAGGCUGCAACUCGCCUACGUGAAGGAGGAAUCGCUAGUAAUCGCAGGUCAGCAUACUGCGGUGAAUACGUUCCCGGGCCUUGUACACACCGCCCGUCACACCAUGGAAGUUGGCCAUGCCCGAAGUCGUUACUCCAACCCGCAAGGGAGGAG